rnacentral:rRNA from 1 species
GGAUAACCUACCCUUGGGACAGGGAUAACCCCGGGAAACUGGGGAUAAUACCUGAUAGACCAUGGAGGCUGGAAGGCGCCAUGGUUCAAAGGGGCAACCGCCCGCCCAAGGAUGGGUCUGCGGCCUAUCAGGUUGUAGUGGGUGUAACGCACCUACUAGCCUACGACGGGUACGGGCUGUGGGAGCAGGAGCCCGGAGAUGGAUUCUGAGACAUGAAUCCAGGCCCUACGGGGUGCAGCAGGCGCGAAAACUUUACAAUGCGGGAAACCGUGAUAAGGGAACCUCGAGUGCCGAUGCAUAGCAUCGGCUGUCCAGAUGCCUAAAAAGCAUCUGAUAGCAAGGGCCGGGCAAGACCGGUGCCAGCCGCCGCGGUAACACCGGCGGCUCGAGUGGUGGCCACUUUUAUUGGGUCUAAAGCGUCCGUAGCCGGCUUGGCAAGUCCCCUGGGAAAUCUGGCGGCUUAACCGUCAGGCGUCCAGAGGAUACUGCCAGGCUUGGGACCGGGAGAGGUGAGAGGUACCUCAGGGGUAGGGGUGAAAUCUUGUGAUCCCUGAGGGACCACCAGUGGCGAAGGCGUCUCACUAGAACGGGUCCGACGGUCAGGGACGAAAGCUAGGGGCACGAACCGGAUUAGAUACCCGGGUAGUCCCAGCCGUAAACGAUGCUCGCUAGGUGUCAGGCAUGGCAUGACUGUGCCUGGUGCCGAAGGGAAGCCGUGAAGCGAGCCACCUGGGAAGUACGGCCGCAAGGCUGAAACUUAA